rnacentral:SRP_RNA from 1 species
GCUGGGUGUGGUGGUGUGCACCUGUAAUCCCAGCUCCUUGGGAGGCUGAGGCAGGAGAUUCACUUGACCUCAGGAGGCAGAGGUUGCAGUGAGUGGAGAUCGCACCACUGCACUCCAGCCUGGGUGACAGAGUGAGACCCAGUCUCAA